UGAGGAACAUGACCUUCGGCGGGGGGAUAGCCGGGCCCCAACGGCCGGGUAAUACCGCGUACGACCACAUGGGGACAUCCCUGAGUGGUGAAAGCAGCAAUGCGCCGAUGGAGUGCCUCGCGGCCUAUCAGCUAGUUGGUGAGGUAACGGCUCACCAAGGCGACGACGGGUAGCUGGUCUGAGAGGAUGGCAGCCACUAGUUGGGACUGAGACACGGCCCAGACCUCGUAACGGGGA
rnacentral:rRNA from 1 species